CGGGCUGUAGCGCAGUCUGGCUAGCGCGCUUCGUUCGGGACGAAGAGGUCGGUGGUUCGAAUCCACUCAGCCCGACCA
rnacentral:tRNA from 1 species